AUACGGAGGAUCCGAGCGUUAUCCGGAUUUAUUGGGUUUAAAGGGUGCGCAGGCGGGAGAUUAAGUCGGCGGUGAAAUUUUUCAGCUCAAAUGUAAAAGUGCCUUCGAUACUGGUUUCCUUUAGUGUGGAUGAAGUAGGCGGGAUUUGUGGUGUAGCGGGGGAAUGCUUAGAUAUCACGAGGAACUCCGAUUGCGCAGGCAGCUUACUAAACCACUACUGACGCUCAGGCACGAAGGCGUGGGGAUCAAACAGGAUUAGAUACCCUGGUAGUCCACGCAGUAAACGAUGAUUACUGGCUGUUUGCGAUACAAUGUAAGCGGCUGAGCGAAAGCGUUAAGUAAUCCACCUGGGGAGUACGUUCGCAAGAAUGAAACUCAAAUGAAUUGACGGGG
rnacentral:rRNA from 1 species